UUUUCUUGGCAGGCCUUCGAAAAAUCCCAAGUCCGGUCUUUAAAGUUUGUCCGUGCAGCCGCCUCUCGGUUGUUUACGGGAAGGAGCACAGGAUUUGGAGUCUGAUGUCCUGGGAGAAGUCUCAGUCCGGCCACUUGGCUGGACCUGUGAUCUAUUGUACAGCAGUCUGUUUACGCCAGCCUCAGUUUCCUUGUCUGAAAAGUGGGGAUAAUGUUCUUUCCCCUGCUGCCUUCCAGGGUUGUGGGCUUCAGCAGAAGUAAUAUUCCUUCAAAAGCUUUGAACUCUAAAGCAUGUUUCGGGCAUAACCUUGCCAUCCCCCAGUCUCCUGUCCAGGGAGUGAAAGUUGAGAAAAACCAAGGAGGAAAACCUUAUAGAGAAAAAUGCUUUGUUGGUCAAGGCAAAGUCUUGGAGUUUAGAGUUGAAGUAUGUAUUUUUUACUUCCUUCAAGUGCCGUAUUGACUACCAGAUAUCUGCCGAUUCAGAUGCUUAGGAAAUGUUUCCUUUACUCUCUUUUUUUGAUGUGGUAUGCCUGUGCUAUGUUUUGCCAGCUUCUUUCUACCUUUAGUUAUGAAUCAGCAAGAUAACUCUUUUUUCACACCAGACUUGUAUACAAAGCUAUGACAAUAGGAAGUCACUUCGAUUAAAAUCUACUUUGUAUGCUAUGUGUUAUUUUUUCCUUUAUGUUUUAAUCUUAAACACUUUUAGCUGGGGCAUAAUAGCUUGUUCCUGUAAUUCCAGCACUUUGAGAUCCUUUGAGGUAGGCUCAUUUGAGGCCGGGAGUUCGAGACUAGCCUGGGCAACAAAGCGAGACUUCGUCUCUAUAAAAAAAAUUAACAACAACAACAAAAAUCAGUUCAACACUUUUGUUCCUUGACUGUUUUUUACUUAAAAGGAAUUUUUGGAAAGUAUACUAAUUCUCAGCUAUAGUGUGUGACUAUGCAUAGUGGAUGCUCAGUAAUGAGUGUGCUGACUAGUUCUGAAUAGGAACAUUUUGUUGAUCGUCCUAGGUCACUGAGGUGCACUCUGGAGAGGCCAUGUAGCAUUGUGGCAGUAACCUAUGCUUUGGAGUCAAGACAGACCAAGGUCUGAAUCCAGGCUCACUAGAUGUAACUUUGGUUCAUAUGAUCAUUCUGAAUUGAGUUUCUCAUCAUCUGUAAGACAGAUUAGACUAACCCUGCAUGGUUGAAAAGGUUAAAGAUUAUUUGAAUGAGGCACAUAUUAGUCAGGUUUAGUAUAAUAUUAGAGAUUGGAGUGGUGGUGUUAUUACUAUUUUUAAUUUGUAUUAUUUUUUCUGAAAGGUAUGGAUUUUGUUGAUACAUCUAUAUUCAUUCCCCUAAUGCUUCAAUGAUCAGUAUGUUUCUUAGCCAAGGUUAAGGUUGUUGACUGUGACCAUGGAAUCUAGAAACACACAGCAAAGCUAAUUGGCCAGCAUGGAGUUUGAGUCUGUGACCUUGUCCUCAUUAGCUCCAUAAGCUAACUAUUCACAAAUAAUCUCAAGAGAAUGAAAGAAAAGACUGGUAUAUUUUUUAUUUGGCCCUCAUGCAACUCAUUAGACAUAAGUAAAUGAACUAGUGCCAGAAGCAAAAAUAUAGAUUUUUCAUUAGCUUAUAUAAAUAUAUGAUUAGCCCUCACACUGUGUAUAAAACUUGUGACCUGUAGGAUGAUCUUUGACAACUCCACUAACCUAAGUUUAUAAUUUAGACAUUUCUUUUAGUUGUUGAAUUGUAUUUGUUGUAGACUUCUCACCUAUAGGAGAAGUGAGAAGAAAUGGAACUAGGCUAUUCAUGUCUUGAAGGAGUACCCUCCUUCUGUUGUGCUACCCACAAGGAAAUGUGCUCUUAGCUAGUGCAGAAAACACUUAGAGUUAUCCAGUAAUGAUCCCAGCAGGAUGGAUGAAGCUUGGGGAACUCCUAAGAGCUUAUUGAAUUACAGAGAAAUUCCAGUUGUCAAAGCAUUAGAUAGAGGAAAAGUUAUAGGGUGUUACUCAGCAGUAGUAAGCCUGCAUUUGGAGAGAAUUUUCUUUUCUCUUAAUAAAAUUCACCCUUCAGUUUUAUUAGUAUUUGUU
ensembl:lncRNA